rnacentral:rRNA from 1 species
AUGAGCAAGGCUUUGGCACCUCGAUACCAGGGAUUGUCAACAUAUGGAAAAGAGUAUUUGGCAGUGAUAGUGGUUGUGGACCAAUGGCGCCCUUACCUUCAACACAGAGAAUUUACAAUCCAUACAGACCAGAAAAGCCUCAUUCAUCUCGAAGAGCAACGCCUAGCGACCCCGUGGCAGAGGAAAGCGUUCACUAAGCUGUUGGGGCUGCAAUACACCAUCAAAUACAAGAAGGGGAAGGAGAAUAUAGCUGGCUAA